UGAAAAAACGUACGAUCGUCCUGUCCCCAAAACAUGUGAGUUGUUUCUAAUGAUUCUUUUUCUUGGUACAAGCGUCCAAACCACCA
rnacentral:ribozyme from 1 species